CGGACGGGUGAGUAAAGCAUAGGAAUCUACCCAGUAGUGGGGGAUAACGUGGAGAAAUUCACGCUAAUACCGCAUAUGUCCUACGGGACAAAGCAGGGGACCUUCGGGCCUUGCGCUAUUGGAUGAGCCUAUGUCGGAUUAGCUAGUUGGUAGGGUAAAAGCCUACCAAGGCGACGAUCCGUAGCUGGUCUGAGAGGAUGAUCAGCCACACUGGGACUGAGACACGGCCCAG
rnacentral:rRNA from 1 species